rnacentral:lncRNA from 1 species
AUGAAAACUGGAAGAGAAAGGCAAGGUUGGAAGGCAGGAAAUAAAACGUGGCCAACAGUAGGGAUGGAGUUGCUGAAUGUGCAUUAUCUAAUCAAUCGAUUUCUGGAUACUUUCAAGGUUGCUCUUCUGAAAAAGGUAUGGUUUGGCCAUAAGGCCAGAAAGAUUUCACAGGCCUGA